GAUGAAGAACGUAGCGAAAUGCGAUAAGUAAUGCGAAUUGCAGAAUUCAGUGAGUCAUCGAAUCUUUGAACGCACAUUGCGCCCUGUGGUAUUCCGCAGGGCAUGCCUGUUCGAGCGUCAUUUCAACCCUCAAGCUCUGCUUGGUUUUGGGCCCUGCCCGCUGCGGCCGGCCCUAAAGACAGUGGCGGUGCCGCCUGGCCCUGAGCGUAGUACAUCUCUCGCUCCAGUGCCCGGUGGUAGCCUGCCAGAACCCCAACUCUCGUGGUUGACCUCGGAUCAGGUAGGGAUACCCGCUGAACUUAAGCAUAUCAAUAAGCGGAGGA
rnacentral:misc_RNA from 1 species